rnacentral:rRNA from 1 species
GAUGAACGCUGGCGGCAGGCUUAAUACAUGCAAGUCGAACGGUAACAUGGGUAGCAAUACCUGAUGACGAGUGGCGCACGGGUGCGUAACGCGUAUGCAACCUACCCUGAAUUGGAACAUAACGUUGAGAAAUUAGCGCUAAUAUUCCAUGUGAAUAUGAAGAGGCAUCUUUUUAUAUUUAAAGAUUUAUUGAUUUAGGAUGGGCAUGCGUAUCAUUAGUUAGUUGGCGGGGUAACGGCUCACCAAGGCGACGAUGAUUAGGGGUUCUGAGAGGAUAUCCCCCCACACUGGAACUGAGACACGGUCCAGACUCCUACGGGAGGCAGCAGUAGGGAAUAUUGGGCAAUGGAGGCAACUCUGACCCAGCCAUGCCGCGUGCAGGAAGACGGUCCUAUGGAUUGUAAACUGCUUUUAUCAUAGAGUAAUCGCGGGGACGUGUCCCCGUCUGCAAGUAUAUGAUGAAUAAGCAUCGGCUAACUCCGUGCCAGCAGCCGCGGUAAUACGGAGGAUGCAAGCGUUAUCCGGAUUUAUUGGGUUUAAAGGGUGCGCAGGCGGACUGGUAAGUCAGGGGUGAAAUUUUGCAGCUUAACUGUAACACUGCCUUUGAUACUGCCGGACUAGAGUUCAAUUGACGUUACCGGAAUGUGAUGUGUAGCGGUGAAAUGCAUAGAUAUGUCACAGAACGCCGAUCGUGAAGACAGGUAACGAAAUUGAUACAGACGCUCAUGCACGAAAGCGUGAUCCACCUGGGGAGUACGAUCGCAAGGUUGAAACUCAAAGGAAUUGACGGGGGCCCGCACAAGCGGAGGAGCAUGUGGUUUAAUUCGAUGAUACGCGAGGAACCUUACCCGGGCUUGAAUUGCAGUGGAAUGACCAGGAAAUUGGUCAGUCUUCGGACCACUGUGAAGGUGCUGCAUGGUUGUCGUCAGCUCGUGCCGUGAGGUGUUAGGUUAAGUCCUGCAACGAGCGCAACCCUUACACUUAGUUGCCAGCACGUAGCGGUGGGAACUCUAAGUGAACUGCCUACGCAAGUAGAGAGGAAGGUGGGGAUGACGUCAAAUCAGCACGGCCCUUAUGUUCGGGGCUACACACGUGCUACAAUGGUCGGUACAGAGGGCAGCUACCUCGCGAGAGGAUGCCAAUCUCAAAAGCCGAUCUCAGUUCGGAUCGGAGUCUGUAACUCGACUCCGUGAAGUUGGAUUCGCUAGUAAUCGCGCAUCAGCCAUGGCGCGGUGAAUACGUUCCCGGGCCUUGUACACACCGCCCGUCAAGCCAUGGAAGCCUGUGGUACCUAAAGUCCGUGCCCGUAAGGAGCGGCCUAAGGUAAAACCGGUAACUGGGGCU